rnacentral:rRNA from 1 species
CACGUAGGGCGCAAGCGUUGUCCGGAAUUAUUGGGCGUAAAGAGCUCGUAGGUGGUUUGUUACGUCCGCUGUGAAAUCCUAGGGCUUAACCCUGGGCUUGCAGUGGAUACGGGCAGACUAGAGGUAGGUAGGGGAGAAUGGAAUUCCUGGUGUAGCGGUGAAAUGCGCAGAUAUCAGGAGGAACACCGGUGGCGAAGGCGGUUCUCUGGGCCGUACCUGACACUGAGGAGCGAAAGCGUGGGGAGCGAACAGG